rnacentral:rRNA from 1 species
UACAGAGGGGGCAAGCGUUGUUCGGAAUUACUGGGCGUAAAGGGCGCGUAGGCGGCCUGUUAAGUCGAACGUGAAAUCCCCGGGCUCAACCCGGGAACUGCGUCCGAUACUGGCAGGCUUGAAUCCGGGAGAGGGAUGUGGAAUUCCAGGUGUAGCGGUGAAAUGCGUAGAUAUCUGGAGGAACACCGGUGGCGAAGGCGGCAUCCUGGACCGGCAUUGACGCUGAGGCGCGAAAGCGUGGGGAGCAAACAGG